rnacentral:tRNA from 1 species
UAGGGAGACCUACCCACUCGACGAGUGAACGCACAUAGUUAAUAACUCAAGAGUUGGUCAUCCCAAGGUCGUUCGAGAUAGAAGUGUAGGCUUUCAAACUAUAUUGGUUCGGUUCACGGGCUAUUAGCUCAGGUGGUUAGAGCGCACCCCUGAUAAGGGUGAGGUCCCUGGUUCGAGUCCAGGAUGGCCCACCUUUUCGACAAGGGGGUAUGGCUCAGUUGGUAGAGCGCCUGCUUUGCACGCAGGAUGUCAGCGGUUCGAGUCCGCUUACCUCCACUGAGAUGGUGACUUGUAAGGUGACGUAACGUUAGCAACUGCUCUUGGCUAAGUCAAGACAGCCUGCUGACCUAGCAGUCAGCCAGAACCUUGAAAACUGCAUAGUAACUUGUCAGGUAGAAGGCGAUUAGUAAGCCACUAAUUGCUACAUAUCACAGACACCAAUGUAAGCGACAAAAAAGU